GAUGAACGCUGGCGGCGUGCCUAAUACAUGCAAGUCGAGCGAAUGGAUUGAGAGCUUGCUCUUAUGAAGUUAGCGGCGGACGGGUGAGUAACACGUGGGUAACCUGCCCAUAAGACUGGGAUAACUCCGGGAAACAGGGGCUAAUACGGGAUAACAUUUUGAACCGCAUGGUUCGAAACUGAAAGGCGGCUUCGGCUGUCAGUUAAGGAUGGACUCGCGUCGCAUUAGCUAGUUGGUGAGGUAACGGGUCACCAAGGCAACGAUGCGUAGCCGACCUGAGAGGGUGAUCGGCCACACUGGGACUGAGACACGGCCCAGACUCCUACGGGAGGCAGCAGUAGGGAAUCUUCCGCAAUGGACGAAAGUCUGACGGAGCAAGGCCGCGUGAGUGAUGAAGGCUUUCGGGUCGUAAAACUCUGUUGUUAGGGAAGAACAAGUGCUAGUUGAAUAAGCUGGCACCUUGACGGUACCUAACCAGAAAGCCACGGCUAACUACGUGCCAGCCGCCGCUGUAA
rnacentral:rRNA from 1 species